GGGUUUUAUUCCAGAUAGAUUGUCUGUACCAGCAGCAGAUGGCUGAGCUUCUGACAUUAUUCUAUGAGCUAUUGCCUAUAUGAAGGUCAAAAAUAAAGGACAAAGCGAUUCUUUUAUAUUGCCGAGCCUCGAGCACUGAGAGAACAUGUGAAAGUGAUGUCUAUGAAUUUAGUGAUAGGAUUUUGUGCGUGUGAGAGAAGACGGGGGAAGGAGGCACGGCGUGAAGAUCGAAUGAGAUUGAAUUCCGUUCCACAGAGAAAGACACAAAAGGAUGAACAUCUGACCUGUUUCUGUCCUUCUUACAAUGAAGAAAUCUUGGAACAAAAGCAGAUUAUGAGAUUAUAUAAAAUGCACCAAGAAUAAAUGAAUAAAGCAAAUAAUACAUAGAUAGAAAUGAGCUGUGAUAUAUUCAGUGGUCAAAGUGGAUCUGCGGAUUUGUUUUCAAGCUGCUUAGCUGAAAGCAGCACGGACAAAGACACCGAAGUACGAUGAUGUCUGCCAGCUGUGAAAUUUGUUCCAGGAGGAUGAAAGGACUGAGGCAAAGGCAGCAGGAAUGAGGAGUGAACGAGCAUGCUCCAGCUGUCACCUCCAGUCAGAUGGAAGCAAUGGGGAGGGGGAACGUUUUCUUUGAUGUUGCCCCAUCAACUUCCUGUACAUCUUCGUUACUCAUCAGAAUGUCAUAAAUUGUGGUUUGUGUGCAUGUGUGUGUCUGUGUUUGUGUGCAUGUGUGCAUGUGCGUGUGCGUCCAGUCACGUUAGUGUGCUUCAGGAAUACCUCUGUCAGAUCAAGGCUGUAGGAUUUAUAUGAGCACAUGGAGAGAGGUGGAGAGAUGGCUGAGAUUAUUCACACACACUAAAUCCACUGUCGAAAUACCACCGUUCACUGCUCACACUCACUCAAGGUACAACAUUCUUAAACUAUUAAUACAUAACUACAACUCCUACUACUGUUUAUCGUACUUCAACUAAACUAUAACAAUUAGCUCUACUUGGGCAUAUAUUGGGACACUUGACUUGACCUGCUGUAGGUGAUUCUUCCCUAAACUUUUACCACAAAGUUGGAAACUCACACAUCUUUGAAUGCACUAGCAUGACAACGUUCCUGUGCACAAAGCCAUCUCAAUGAACAUAUGGUUUGCAUGGAAUGGAGAGGAAGAUAUUGAGUGCCCGGCUAUAGAGCUCUGACCUCAAGCAUAUUCAACACCUUUGGGACAAAUUAGAACGCUGAUUGCACCAGGCCUCAUCAGCCUACAUCAGUACCUAACGUCCCUAACACUAUUGUGGCUGAGUGAGCACAAAUCUCCUUAAGCACACUCCAAAAUCUACUGGAACAUCUUCCCAGAGUAGUGGAGGUUAUUAUAAUUUAAUGAUCAGGUUUUUACAAACCUCUGUCCAUAAUAUGCAUGUAACAACUACAGUAUAUUACUCUUAAUGUUGCCUUAUGAUGAUUGGAAAAAAAAACUUUCUUUUUGUUCAUUCAAACUGUGUGUGAA